AGGACGACGCUGGCGGCGUGCCUAACACAUGCAAGUCGAGCGGGGUUGAAGCGAGGGGUAACUCGAACUUCUACCUAGCGGCGGACGGGUGAGUAACGCGUGGGCAACCUGCCUCAAGGUCUGGGAUAACAGCUCGAAAGGGCUGCUAAUACCGGAUAUGCCUAUAGCCUCGCAUGGGGCUAUGAGCAAAGGGGAAACCCGCCUUGAGAUGGGCCCGCGUCCCAUCAGCUAGUUGGUGAGGUGAAGGCUCACCAAGGCGACGACGGGUAGCCGGCCUGAGAGGGUGACCGGCCACACUGGGACUGAGACACGGCCCAGACUCCUACGGGGGGCAGCAGUGGGGAAUCUUGCACAAUGGGCGAAAGCCUGAUGCAGCGACGCCGCGUGAGCGAAGAAGGCCUUCGGGUUGUAAAGCUCUGUCUGGAGGGACGAAGAAAGUGACGGUACCUCCGGAGGAAGCCACGGCUAACUACGUG
rnacentral:rRNA from 1 species